CAGCAGCCACGGUAAUACGAACCGUGCGAACGUUAUUCGGAAUCACUGGGCAUAAAGCGCGUGUAGGCGGGAGGGCACGUCCGUCGCUGAAAUCCCCCGGCUCAACCGGGGAACGGGCGCGGAUACGACUCUUCUGGAGGAACGUAGGGGGACCUGGAACUUCCGGUGGAGCGGUGAAAUGCGUUGAGAUCGGAAGGAACGCCCGUGGCGAAAGCGAGGUCCUGGACGUUUACUGACGCUGAGACGCGAAAGCCAGGGGAGCGAACGGGAUUAGAUACCCGCGUAGUCCCUGUCUCUUAUA
rnacentral:rRNA from 1 species